rnacentral:rRNA from 1 species
UACGUAGGGGGCAAGCGUUGUCCGGAAUCAUUGGGCGUAAAGAGCGUGUAGGCGGCUCGAUAAGUCUGCUGUGAAAGUCCAGGGCUCAACCCUGGAAGGCCGGUGGAAACUGUCGGGCUAGAGUCCGGAAGAGGCGAGUGGAAUUCCCGGCGUAGCGGUGAAAUGCGCAGAUAUCGGGAGGAACACCAAUGGCGAAGGCAGCUCGCUGGGACGGUACUGACGCUGAGACGCGAAAGCGUGGGGAGCAAACAGG